AUUGAACGCUGGCGGCAGGCCUAACACAUGCAAGUCGAGCGGAUGAAGGGAGCUUGCUCCUGGAUUCAGCGGCGGACGGGUGAGUAAUGCCUAGGAAUCUGCCUGGUAGUGGGGGAUAACGUCCGGAAACGGGCGCUAAUACCGCAUACGUCCUGAGGGAGAAAGUGGGGGAUCUUCGGACCUCACGCUAUCAGAUGAGCCUAGGUCGGAUUAGCUAGUUGGUGGGGUAAGGGCCUACCAAGGCGACGAUCCGUAACUGGUCUGAGAGGAUGAUCAGUCACACUGGAACGGAGACACGGUCCAGACUCCUACGGGAGGCAGCAGUGGGGAAUAUUGGACAGUGGGCGAAAGCCUGAUCCAGCCAUGCCGCGUGUGUGAAGAAGGUCUUCGGAUUGUAAAGCACUUUAAGUUGGGAGGAAGGGCAGUAAGUUAAUACCUUGCUGUUUUGACGUUACCAACAGAAUAAGCACCGGCUAACUUCGUG
rnacentral:rRNA from 1 species